UUAGUAUUGUGUUUGGUGUUACUGGGUACUAAAAUAAAUGAGUUUACGUAACACCUUUUUUUUAUUUUGACCUUCUUAGAUGAUGAUGUUAUUGUGGAUACUCAAAUAAAUUAUCUUUAGAUAGCAACAUCAUUUUAAACUAUAAACCAAGUAAACUAUAUUUUAAUCCUAUGUAAUAUCAAAUAUUAGUAAAUAUUAGUAUAACUUAAGACACCUCAUAUAAAGUAUAUAACAACCUUAAAAAUAUAAAGAGGUAUAAUGUAAUCUCGAGCAUCAAACAACGAUGGACGUGAAGAGAUCAAUUGAGUCCGCGCAUCUCUUUGUCGCUAAACCCUUGAAUGGGUAGCGGUACAUACGAGUGGGGUAUAGUUGAUUAGCAAUGUGUUUUGGUGGCGAUUAAUAGGGAGAUUAGUAGUGAUGGAUUAGGGGGUUGGUUGCCCGAAAUGACAUCAUUGACAUGAACCAUAAUGUUUGAUCGAGAGAGAGAGAGGGAGGGCUCUAUGCCUCUAUCUAAUAUUGUAGGCCUAGCUAGAGCCCGUAGAGGAGAGGAUUAGAUUAGGCCUCUGUCUUCUGUCUCUAGGAGAGGAUUAGAUUAGGCCUCUGUCUUCUGUCUCUAGGAGAGGAUUAGAUUAGGGCCUCUGUCUGUCCGUACGGGUGAUCGAGGAGGAUCCUGAGUCGAUUAGUUGGGUACCGCGUGGGAAACAGCUGUAUCCUUUCUUCUUUCUAUGAUCAUGUGGGCAUUAUGACCAGACAUGUACAUGUACUACUAGCUAGCUAGUAGAGUCUAGCUAGUACAGAUCCAUUAUCUCGUUUCCUGCUCCGACUGUCCCAUUCUAUCAUAAUCUUUCCCAACACCAUCUCACGCUCUCUUGCUCUUGCUCUUGGAGAAAAAGGAUUUCUAUGAUUCUACAGACCAAGAAAAAAAAAACUGGAUGAUUCUUGUUAGAUUUGUUCUCGGAUUUGUUAUUGGCAAGCCUACUUACCUAUGAUUCAAUCAGAUUACCUUACAGUACUAAUUAAACUUCAGUUCUACUAUAAAUAUGAAGGAUGUAUUUAUAGAUUAUUUAGAUUUUUAAGUGAAAUUUCAAUUCAUCCAAUUUUGGGUUAACGUCAGUUUUCUCUUCCAAUCCCAUCCAAUUUGGUUUUCUCAGCAAAAGCUUUCUUCCAUCUACAUGCAUCGAGUCAUUCAAAGUCUAUAUUUUCUUCUUCGUUUUUUGUCUGGUAAAACUACACUAGAUAUUUACAAAAUACGUUGUCAUUCAAGAGAAACAUGUUUCAGUCACGUUUUGAAAAUCUUCCUCGCAUUUCGAUCACGUUUCAGAAAUCUUUCUUUGCAGAAAUGUGUUUCGGUUUCUGAAACGCGAAAUGCCUGUUUUCGAGAAUUGCGGUGCAUCAUAUACUAUAACAUAUCAUUUGUUUAUUUUGAUAAAAAAAAAAUAGAUGUGAAAAAAACACCAACACUCCGUUAAAAUUGAUAAUUCUAAAGUACUAUAAUGCAUAACGAACUGAAAUAAACACCUUAUUUUGCUAUUUUGAUUGAAAUGCUCAUAAAAGACAAAAUCUAAGUUGGUGAAAACCAAAUUUUAAAUUACCAAAAACAAAUAUGGAGUGUGGAUAAUGAGUAUGGAUAUCACUCUUGCUUAC
rnacentral:lncRNA from 1 species